UACGUAGGGGGCAAGCGUUGUCCGGAUUUAUUGGGCGUAAAGAGCGUGUAGGCGGCCUUACAGGUCAGCUGUGAAAACUCGAGGCUCAACCUCGAGACGUCGGUUGGAAACCGUAGGCUAGAGUCCGGAAGAGGAGAGUGGAAUUCCCGUGGUGUGCGGUGAAAUGCGCAGAUAUCAGGAGGAACACCGAUUGCGAAGGCAGCUCGCUGGGACGUAACUGACGCUGAGACGCGAAAGCGUGGGGAGCAAACAGG
rnacentral:rRNA from 1 species